rnacentral:piRNA from 1 species
AGACUGGUUUUGAACUCACAGAG